rnacentral:sRNA from 1 species
AUGGGACCUUCCUGUGUCGCUGCCACCAGGGCUAUGAGCUGCACCGGGAUGGCUUCUCCUGCAGUGGUGAGAGCUCCAUCCCUGCUGCGUACUCCUCCGUGGGCCCCCAGGACCUAGCUAUGCCGUGCCUCCUGCCACACAGUUCUCCAUCUGAGGCCUCCGCAUCCUGUCACUGUGCACCCAGCUGCCUCCUGGGUACUCCACCCCGGCUGGCUGUGGAGCACUCCCAGGCUAGUGGGGGAGGCACAAGGAGAGGCAGCUAGGUCCUUACUGAAGCCUACUGGGGAGACUGAGCAUGUGGGUGCCACCUGUCCCACGUGUCAGGCUCACCUGCAUUUACCUGCAUUUGAAUUUUGCACUAGGACAAGUCACUCUUCUCUCUGAGUCUGUUUCUUCUUCUAUAAAAUGGGUUGUCUUGAGGAUUAGGUGAGAGUGUGAUAGAUGGGCUCCAGCAAGUCUCAAGCUGCAGUGCUUUAAAGUGAAUGAACUGCCACUUAAUGAGAACCUGCCCUCGUAGUGUAUUCCCUGACACACUUGACCUCCUUCCUCUCAAGAACCCUAGGAGGUAUGAUUUUCUCCUUCCUCUACAAAAUGAGGACAUUCAUAUCUCCCUCCACGUUUGUUGGGAGGAUUACAUAAAAAUAAUCACGAAGUCCUGGGUAAAUGGUAACUUUCAUUAUUCAGCUAAGAGAGGUUAAGUGACCUGUCCAAGCUCACACAGCCAGGAUGAGAUGGGGCCAGGGCUCGAUCCCAGACUUCUUACACCCUGUAAACUGGCAUGUACCCUCUAUGUUAUGCUUUGCUGCGGGAUGAGGCCUCACUGCUACCUGACAGCAAGAGGGGAACAAGAGAAAGGAAAUGUUCUGCCUGUGAAGCUCACAGUUAGCUGGAGGUGACCACUGGGUGCUCGGGCUGACUGUGGGUUGCAGGAAUUGGGUGUUACAGCACAGGCCAGACCCACAAGACUCAUCUAGUCUAACACACUCAUUUUACUGAUUGGGAAAAUAAGAUUCCCCUAGAUCAGCUGGUGGGAUUCACACCCAAGCCUCUAGAUUCCCAGUAACUUAUUUAGUGUUUCUUCCAGUUCUGGGCAGAGAGAAGUCUGUGAGCUGGGGCAGCCUGGGCAAGCUUUCUUUGAACCCUCCAUCUCCCGGCUGAGCUUGUGGCUUGUCUCAUCCCCCUCUGUCUUCCUACAUUCAGUCUAACAUGGGCCUGGGCCUUCUUGGGAAAUGUUUGUGGGACUGAAUGGUGAGGAAUGCCCUUGACCCGGGGUCCCCAUCCCAUGCUUCCUCAGAUAUUGAUGAGUGUAGCUACUCCAGCUACCUCUGUCAGUACCGCUGCGUCAACGAACCAGGCCGUUUCUCCUGCCAGUGCCCACAGGGUUACCAGCUGCUGGCCACACGCCUCUGCCAAGACAUUGAUGAGUGCGAGUCUGGUGCGCACCAGUGCUCCGAGGCCCAAACUUGUGUUAACUUCCAUGGGGGCUACCGCUGCGUGGACACCAACCGCUGUGUGGAGCCCUACAUCCAGGUCUCUGAGAACCGCUGCCUCUGCCCGGCCUCCAACCCUCUGUGUCGAGAGCAGCCUUCAUCCAUUGUGCACCGCUACAUGACCAUCACCUCGGAGAGGAGCGUGCCCGCUGACGUGUUCCAGAUCCAGGCGACCUCCGUCUACCCCGGUGCCUACAAUGCCUUUCAGAUCCGUGCUGGAAACUCGCAGGGGGACUUUUACAUUAGGCAAAUCAACAACGUCAGCGCCAUGCUGGUCCUCGCCCGGCCGGUGACGGGCCCCCGGGAGUACGUGCUGGACCUGGAGAUGGUCACCAUGAAUUCCCUCAUGAGCUACCGGGCCAGCUCUGUACUGAGGCUCACCGUCUUUGUGGGGGCCUACACCUUCUGAGGAGCAGGAGGGAGCCACCCUCCCUGCAGCUACCCUAGCUGAGGAGCCUGUUGUGAGGGGCAGAAUGAGAAAGGCAAUAAAGGGAGAAAGAAAGUCCUGGUGGCUGAGGCCCAGGGGGCCCCAUUGACAGGAGCUGGGAGCUCUGUACCACAAGCUUCAGUCACCCCGAGAGGAGAGGAGGUAACGAGGAGGGCGGACUCCAGGCCCCGGCCCAGAGAUUUGGACUUGGCUGGCUUGCAGGGGUCCUAAGAAACUCCACUCUGGACAGCGCCAGGAGGCCCUGGGUUCCAUUCCUAACUCUGCCUCAAACUGUGCAUUUGGAUAAGCCCUAGUAGUUCCCUGGGCCUGUUUUUCUAUAAAACGAGGCAGCUGGACUGUU